UACAGAGGGGGCAAGCGUUGUUCGGAAUUACUGGGCGUAAAGGGCGCGUAGGCGGCCUUCUAAGUCGAACGUGAAAUCCCCGGGCUCAACCCGGGAACUGCGUCCGAUACUGGAAGGCUUGAAUCCGGGAGAGGGAUGCGGAAUUCCAGGUGUAGCGGUGAAAUGCGUAGAUAUCGAGAGGAACACCUGCGGCGAAGGCGGGUUGCUGGGCCGACACUGACGCUGAUGCGCGAAAGCCAGGGGAGCGAACGGG
rnacentral:rRNA from 1 species